AUACCGAAUGAUAAAGUGUGGCGCAUGCCACGCUUUUGAAAGAUGGUUUCGGCUAUCGCUUACAGAUGGGCCCGCGGUGCAUUAGCUAGUUGGUAGGGUAAUGGCCUACCAAGGCAACGAUGCAUAGCCGACCUGAGAGGGUGAUCGGCCACACUGGGACUGAGACACGGCCCAGACUCCUACGGGAGGCAGCAGUAGGGAAUCUUCCGCAAUGGACGAAAGUCUGACGGAGCAACGCCGCGUGUAUGAAGAAGGUUUUCGGAUCGUAAAGUA
rnacentral:rRNA from 1 species